CACGUAGGGUGCGAGCGUUGUCCGGAAUUACUGGGCGUAAAGGGCUCGUAGGCGGCCAACUAAGUCAGACGUGAAAUCCCUCAGCUUAACUGGGGAACUGCGUCUGAUACUGGAUGGCUAGAGUGUGGGAGAGGGAUGCGGAAUUCCAGGUGUAGCGGUGAAAUGCGUAGAUAUCUGGAGGAACACCGGUGGCGAAGGCGGCAUCCUGGACCACGACUGACGCUGAGGCACGAAAGCUAGGGUAGCGAACGGG
rnacentral:rRNA from 1 species